rnacentral:misc_RNA from 1 species
GAUGAAGAACGCAGCGAAAUGCGAUAAGUAAUGUUAAUUGCAGAAUUCAGUGAAUCAUCGAAUCUUUGAACGCACAUUGCGCCCUAUGGUAUUCCGUAGGGCAUGCCUGUUCGAGCGUCAUUACACACCUCAAGCUCUGCUUGGUAUUGGGCGUCGUCCCCUAAACGGGACGUGCCUCAAAGACCUCGGCGGUGGCGUCUUUGCCUCAAGCGUAGUAAUCUUUUUAUCUCGCUUUGGAGUCGAAGGCGUCGCCCGCCGGACGAAACCUUUAUUUUUCUAUCAAGGUUGACCUCGGAUCAGGUAGGGAUACCCGCUGAACUUAAGCAUAUCAAUAAGCGGAGGA